GCACGAGGAAUUCUACCUGAGAACAUGACUUUUAAUCACGGGGUCCUGGGUUCGAGCCCCAGCGCGCUCACCA
rnacentral:tRNA from 1 species